rnacentral:rRNA from 1 species
AUGGUGGAAAUCUCAUCGUCACGUGAUACACCGCAGCCGAUCAUCAUGGCGGCUUCUGCUGUUAUGGACGUUGAAUAUGCAUCAUCAGUGAUCCAUAAUUCAGGUGGUGACCCUCCAUAUGCCUCUGCAUCUAGCAAUCGUGAGUCCCAUCUCACUUGCCUUGUAAUGGGUGUUGAAAAUACUAGUGCUGCUGAAUACGGACUGAACUUCAGUAUGGUGCAUGGAGUUUCAGAGACUAACCAUGUUGAUUGCUCGUCUUUUACGCCAAGAUGCGAGGAAAAUUUGAAGCCUAAAGUAGGAAUGACAUUUGAAGGGCUUCAGGCUGUCGAGGAGUUCUACAAGUCCUAUGCACAUCAUGUGGGUUUUGGAGUUCGUGUUGGACAGCAAAAAUUGUUGGAUAAUGAUGUGGUUCGGACAAAGCGCUUCAUGUGCAGUAGGGAAGGAUUCAGGGCUGAGAAGAGCAAGGAGAUUAAAGACCCAUCAAACCCAUCAAAAAAAAUCGUACAUGCCAGGCAUACAGGCUCCUUCAAGUCAGUGAAGGUGGUUUUCCGUAUGUUGGAUGCAGCAAGAGGGACCUACAAAAUUACUACCGUGAUCUCUGGCUUAAAAUCAGGAACGCUGAUGCUCAAGUGUUUGUCGCUCAGCUAUCUAGAAAGCAAGAAGUCAAUCCAGCUUUUUUUCUAUGAUUUUGUUGUCGAUGACCAGGGGAACUUAAUGUAUGUGUUCUGGGCAGAUGCCAUGAGUAGGAAAAACUACAGCCACUUUGGUGGUGGUGGGGUCAAUCAUCACUUACAAAGUGUGUUUUUUGGUGCGGCAUUCUUGGUAAAUGAGCAGACUGAGUCAUAUGUUUGGUUGUUUGACACCUUCCUUAGAGCAAUGGGAGGGGUUGCAUCUAGACUCAUAAUAACUGAUGAAGCUGUUAGCAUGAAGAAUGCGAUUGAAGAGGUUUUUCCAUCCACAGUGCAUAGGUUAUGUAUGUGGCACAUAAUGGAGAAACUUCCGGAGAAGAUUGGGCCAAUAAUUCGUGAAGAUUCUGAUUUUUGGGCGUUAGAAUGCCAACAAGAAGAGGAGUUGAUUGCCGACAACUCAAGAAUUCAUACGACCCCGCAACUACUGACACCAUGGGCAAUGAAAAAACAAGGUAGAGAUGUGUUUACAUAUGAAGUAUUUGAGAAAUUUCAGAAAGAGAUUAUUGCAGCAAGAGACCAUUGUUGUAUCCAAGGCAUUGCACAAGAUGAAGCAGUAAAAAUAGUGACUUUGAGAGGUCGAUCCCACAAGAUUAGGGAAGUUCUGUGCGACACCACAACCAUGAUAGCUAACUGUUCAUGCAAGUUAUUUGAAACAAUUGGAAUCCCGUGUCGUCAUAUCAUCCAGGUGUUGAGGGCCGAAAAUCAAAAUGAACUUUCAUCCUACUACCUUAUGAAAAGAUGGGACAAACUGUGCAAAAGAAGAGAAGGCAAAACCGACUCCUUGAAUGAGGCUACGAGGAAGAAGAUUUCGGUUGUACGCAACAAGUUGGAAGAUAUAAUUCAGAAGGCCAAGCACUCAGAUGAAGGAAUGGAUUUUCUAACAUCAAGUGUGCUGAAUAUUGAAGCACCUUUGGAUGAAAUGGUUCCUACAUCAGGUGUGAAGCAGACUAGACAAGCUGAGUAUGAGGCUUUUAUUGGUUGCAAUAUUCCUACUGAAAUUGAUAUACACCCACCAACUGAUGUUUGUACGGUUGGAAGAUGCAAAAUAAUAAAGGGAGGAAAGGAAACAAGUGAGGAGGAAUAG